rnacentral:lncRNA from 1 species
CCAAGAUGGUGUCCUGGGUAUGGUGGAAGAAGAUGUUCUCUGGGAUGCAGACAUUUCCCUGAACAAGUCCAUCACAGAGAGCAGGAGAGUCUGGCCUCUUCAGAUGUGAGCCAUCAUUAAGUUCAAAUUCACUCCACCAUCCAUGCAAACUGUGAGAGCUGCUCCAUGGUGCCCAAAUCAGCACAUUCAGCUAGAAUCUCUUGUCACUGGAGAAGCUGUCUGAUUCUCUGAACAUGACGCAAGCCUUGCUGUCACCACCACCGUGAAGGUCAGAUACAGCACCCAAGGCCCUUGCGCCUCUGCCACCGCUGUGAGAAGUACAUAUCCUGGCCAGCCUGCUGACUCAGGAGGUUGAGAAUCAGGUGCAGCAGACCAGAGCACUGCUUCAGUGUCAGGGUAGAGCUGCUCCAUGACCCAGAGAUUCAUACGAGUAAGUUAUUUUCCUCAAGACCAGUGAGUUUGUUACACAACAGAAUUGUGGCCAUACCCAACCAAUACAGCAUGAAUCUUUUCCAUUACGUUACUAUACAAUUACACAAUUGAUCGUUCUAUAUGCAUUGUUUUGUUAAACUGCAUGUCUUAGGGAUCCUCCAAGGUUAGUACCUAUAAGCCAAACUUAUUCUUUUUAAUGGCUGCAGAGUAUUCUGCAGUAUGGUUAUAGCAAAACUUAUUUAUUCAUUCCCCUGUCGAUGAAUAUCUAACUUCCCAAUCUCUCCUUAAAUCAACAAUGCUGAAAUGAACAUUUUUAUGUAUAUAUGCCUUUUCACACUUGGGCAUCAUAUUUAAGAUAGAUUCCUGCUGUAAAGUUUAUGAAUCAAAAUAUGUACAUAUUUAAAUUUUGAGAAUUACUGCCACUUUUUCUGAAAGGCUACACAUUUGCACUCCCACCAAUGAUGAAUGAGAACAUUGAUUACCCUGCCUCUUCUAAAUUAAUCCCAGCCUAAUAGAUGAGGAAAAAGUCUCAUGGUUGUAACAUACUAUUUCUUGAUUUUUGAGUAAGUUUAACACAUUUUCAUAUGCUUACUAUGUUUGACUCUUCCGAGAGAGUAUGUUCAUGGUCUAAAUUUUUCUAUUAAAAUGUUUUUC